UACGAAGGGGGCUAGCGUUGCUCGGAAUCACUGGGCGUAAAGGGCGCGUAGGCGGAUCUUUAAGUCGGGGGUGAAAGCCCUGGGCUCAACCAAGGAAGUGCACUCGAAACUGCUGUGCUUGAGUACGAAAGAGGAUCGCGGAAUUCCCGGUGUAGAGGUGAAAUUCGUAGAUAUCGGGAGGAACACCAGUGGCGAAGGCGGCGAUCUGGGUCGAUACUGACGCUGAGGUGCGAAAGCGUGGGAGCAAACAGG
rnacentral:rRNA from 1 species